AGGCUUAACCGGUUAACCCCGGAUUAGUGGGAUGGUGCAAGUGGCCCUAAGGCGUUUUACGUAAACAAUAAAAUUAAGUAGCUAAAAGGCAUGGAUUAAUUUUAUACAAUGAUCUCAACCCUAUUUAUGAUAUAACCCUAGUGUAUAACAAUACAUUUCCAUGGUCGUCAGUGGAUUCAACACAAUGUUAUUAUUAUACGUUAUCUAACGUGAAGGCGGAUUAAAAUAACAAACUAAAAUAUUUUAUUCAUUUUUGAUCGAUAAUUAAUAAGAAUGCAGACAAAUUUUCAUAAGUAGUUAUAAUUUGUCUAAAGAAAUAUUAAUAUUUAAAUAUGGAAGCGUGUAGCUAAUUUCAACUACGUGGUCCCAUUCAAUAGAAUAUUUACAAAACUGGCCUAAAAUAACCGAUUUCGUCGACUUUAUAAACGGGUAAAAUAUUAUCUUUAAUCAUUAUAAGCCGAAAAAUAUCACAUAAACCGUAGAAAAUCUAUUUUUAUUCUUUAAAAUUUUAUCAUUAUUUUCAAUAUGUUUCAUUGCCAGCAAGUAACUCAUUUGACUGUCAAAGGACUUUAAUUUAAACUUUAGAAGGCAACGGAUUUAAUAAGAAUUCAAGUCACCAAUAAAACAUUGAGACACGUAGUUUUAAACAAUCACAGAGUAGUUGUGCAAUAGCAGUAAUUUGUGACUGCGUAGAGAGUAACAGUAGUAAAUACUAAUGAACAGGCGCGAUAGAAAAAAUUAAGAAUAUUUCGAAUAAAUAAUAUAAGUAAUUAUAUGUGAUGGUCUGAUGGUAUAUGUACAUUACAUUUUUAUAUACAUGCCAAUUAGGCUUCGUUGUUGAUAUAGUAAAAUGAAAUUAUAAUUUAAAAUUAUGCCAUAGAACGCAAAGUAAAUAAAAUCGGUUAAAGGGAAAACCGGUGCAGAACAUCCGAGUAAGACCUAAAACCGGUUUUGCACAAAUUUUGUCCAGUCAAUCAACUCUAACAAUAACUUUAUAACUAGAAAAUUGUCGUAUUUCUUAGGCAAUGAAUUUACUGGUCAUAGAUUUGCGUGGCCUUAUAUAAGUAAAGAUUGUACAGGUAGUGAUAAAUUAAACCUUAUGUCAUCAUCUCCAUAACUUGUA